GCCCCCAUAGCCCAAUUGGCAGAGGCAACCGGCUUAAAACCGGUACCGGUCUGGGUUCGAGUCCCAGUGGGGGCACCG
rnacentral:tRNA from 1 species